rnacentral:rRNA from 1 species
AAGGAGUGGCGAACGGGUGAGUAAUACAUAAGCAAUCUGCCCACAAAGACUGGGAUAACCUCUGGAAACGGGGACUAAUACCGGAUAGGUAGGAGAGAGGCAUCUUUCUUCUAUUAAAGAUGAGAAGCACUAGUGGAUGAGCUUAUGGCGCAUUAGUUAGUUGGUGAGGUAACGGCCCACCAAGACGAUGAUGCGUAGCCGGCCUGAGAGGGUGAACGGCCACAUUGGGACUGAGACACGGCCCAGACUCC